CACGUAAGGCGCAAGCGUUGUUCGGAAUCAUUGGGCGUAAAGGGCGUGUAGGCGGCCUUAUAAGUCGGGAGUGAAAGGCGCGGGCUCAACCCGCGGACUGCUCCCGAUACUGUGAGGCUCGAGUCCCCGUGGCGCGGCCGGAAUUCCAGGUGUAGGGGUGAAAUCUGUAGAUAUCUGGAAGAACACCGGUGGCGAAGGCGGGCCGCGAGCGGGAGACUGACGCUGAGGCGCGAAGGUGCGGGUAG
rnacentral:rRNA from 1 species